rnacentral:rRNA from 1 species
GACGAACGCUGGCGGCGUGCUUAACACAUGCAAGUCGAACGGAAAGGCCCCUUUGGGGGUACUCGAGUGGCGAACGGGUGAGUAACACGUGAGUAACCUGCCCUUGACUUCGGGAUAACUUCAGGAAACUGGGGCUAAUACCGGAUAGGAAUCCUUGCUGCAUGGUGGGGGUUGGAAAGCUUCGGCGGUUUUGGAUGGACUCGCGGCUUAUCAGCUUGUUGGUGGGGUAGUGGCUUACCAAGGCUUUGACGGGUAGCCGGCCUGAGAGGGCGACCGGCCACAUUGGGACUGAGAUACGGCCCAGACUCCUACGGGCGGCCGCAGUGGGGAAUCUUGCACCAUGGGCGGAAGCCUGAUGCAGCAACGCCGCGUGCGGGAUGACGGCCUUCGGGUUGUAAACCGCUUUCAGCAGGGGCGAAGCUUGUGGUGACGGUACCUGCAGAAGAAGCACCGGCUAACUACGUG